AAUUUUUUGUUAAAAUAUUUACGGUUGUGGCUUUUUAUUGCAUCUUUUCGUUAAAUUAUUUAUUGUUAUCUUUUUUGACAGUUAUGUUUUUUCAACUACAGUCAUAUCUUUUCAGUUUAGGGUUGUGUUUUUUUAUCGCAUCAUUUUGCU
rnacentral:sRNA from 1 species